GAUGAAGAACGUAGCGAAAUGCGAUAAGUAAUGUGAAUUGCAGAAUUCCGUGAAUCAUCGAAUCUUUGAACGCACAUUGCGCCCCCUGGCAUUCCGGGGGGCAUGCCUGUCCGAGCGUCAUUUCUGCCCUCAAGCACGGCUUGUGUGUUGGGUGUGGUCCCCCCGGGGACCUGCCCGAAAGGCAGCGGCGACGUCCGUCUGGUCCUCGAGCGUAUGGGGCUCUGUCACUCGCUCGGGAAGGACCUGCGGGGGUUGGUCACCACCAUGUUUUACCACGGUUGACCUCGGAACAGGUAGGAGUUACCCGCUGAACUUAAGCAUAUCAAUAAGCGGAGGA
rnacentral:misc_RNA from 1 species